UGCAUCAUUCAGUCAUCGUCGCGCUGUCAACACAACUGGUACAUUCAACGGAAGGAAUUAUAACGGAAAUGUUUGAUAACAACAAAACCUGCUACAGGUGUGUUUGUGUGUCCUUUACGCGUCCGUUUAACUAACAAAUCGUGUCUUCCGUGUAGCCACCAAAAGCUGUUCAUUUGCUAUUGAAAAAUACGACGCUUCUUUGUCGCCUCACCUAUUUAUGUAUGUCUUCCGAUCCGAUGGAUGAUAAGCGAGCGAUUGGGAAAAUGAGUAAACGGCAAAAAGUAAAACGCCUCGCCAGCUGCCACUUGCCAGCGCAAGAACGGCUGAUAUUAUCGUGUUAUUCGUGAUAGCCUUUCUGUUCGUCAUGGCUACAACCAGUACAGUUAUAGAAUGAAAAUUUUUUCCACGACGACUUCAGUCGUUAAACUUAACGAAAGUGGGCGAUUUCCAGUAAUGUACAGAAUGUGCACCGCUUAGAUCAUCAUGACACACAUGAACCAAAACACAGGAGCUGUGGAAUAUUAAUGAACCGAGUAGUGGCAAUAAGGAUGGGAAAUUUCAUAAGUAAAAUAUCCUAAUGCAGAACAAAACUGACAGAGAAACUGGCAAAGAAAUGAAUUUAACUAUCUGCCAAUGAACUAGUCGAUCUAAAUUCUUUUAAGUAGGUCUUCGUUUAAACCCAUAUUAAGAAUAUCAAGGGUUGUCGGAAUAAAUGAAACAUAUAAAGUUAAA